rnacentral:rRNA from 1 species
GCUGGCGGCGUGCCUAACACAUGCAAGUCGAACGAGAAAGUGGAGCAAUCCAUGAGUAAAGUGGCGACCGGGUGAGUAACACGUGACUAACCUACCUUCGAGUGGGGGAUAACCUCGGGAAACCGGGGCUAAUACCGCAUAACAUCUUCGGGAUGCGAAGCCGAAGAUCAAAGGAGCAAUUCGCUGGAAGAGGGGGUCGCGGCUGAUUAGCUAGUUGGCGGGUAACGGCCCACCAAGGCUUUGAUCGGUAGCCGGCCUGAGAGGGCGCACGGCCACACUGGAACUGAAACACGGUCCAGACUCCUACGGGAGGCAGCAGUGGGGAAUUUUGCGCAAUGGGGGAAACCCUGACGCAGCAACGCCGCGUGGAGGAUGAAGCCCCUUGGGGCGUAAACUCCUUUCGACCGGGACGAUUAUGACGGUACCGGUGGAAGAAGCACCGGCUAACUCUGUGCCAGCAGCCGCGGUAAUACAGAGGGUGCGAGCGUUGUUCGGAAUUA